GACCCAAAACGGUACCCAAAUCGCGAUUUAAAGUUCAGAUUUCCUCCGUUUUCGGCGCAAAAAUUGCCGAGUGAAGAAUUACGUCAUUAUUUUCCAACGACCAAUCAGCGAGGCCCUUCUGUCGUGGUGCGGUGAAUGGACCAAUAGCGGGCGCUGUAAGUAAGAGUACGCGCAUGCGCGUAAGCACUACUAGUAGACAACAAGAUGGCGGCCGCCAUGAGCUCCUCGGACGACGGCGAUUCGGACGAAAAGAAGUGCAUUGUGCAUGUUUCGAAUGGCGAAUCGAGCGUUCCAUCGUUCUUCGAGACAAGCUGGAUAAAAUUACUUGCUUGUGCUGGUAGUCGGAAGAAUGUGGUGUGAUCAACACACGCAGAAAUCGUGGAAAAAGCGGAGAAGCUCAUCGGCAUCACGUGCAGACUGCAGUGCGUUGCACUGAUGCAGCACUCUCGUGGAAGGAGAGUGGAAGGGGAUACCGGAAUCAUCGGCCUACGCAUUUGGAUACCAUCAACACAUUCAGCAGUGCUACAAACGUAUCUGUGAUGUUUCCAGGAUAGACCGUGCAGAAAGACUUGCAAAGAAACAGCAACAUGAAAGUCAAGAUACAACAUAUUCCAGAUGGGAACUGUGAUGGAGUCACUGAUGCCGCCAAACAAGGAUGCCUUGCACCUGCACGUAAAGAGGGCUAACUACCAGGCAGCCAUACAAGCGGGCCCUGGAUGCACGUCCUGAAGUGCCGUCUAGUCUCCACACGGAAGAGGGUGGAAGGUCAUCGGCGAUGACAUCAGUAUCCACUGGAUGGAUCUUCCCCCUGCCCCAGACAGUGUCAUGGAAUUUGCCCAUUGCUCAUGUAAAAAAAGUCAAUGCACAAAAGGCCAGUGUAGCUGUCUUAAAAAAACUGCCAUGCACAGACUUGUGCAAUUGCACCAACUGUGAAAACAUUCCAAGUGAAGGGCAGCGCAAAGUGAUGAUUCAGAUA